CCUACGGGGGGCUGCAGUGAGGAAUAUUGGUCAAUGGCCGGAAGGCUGAACCAGCCAAGUAGCGUGCAGGAUGACUGCCUUAUGGGUUGUAAACUGCUUUUUUACGGGAAUAAUUAUGAUCACGUGUGAUUAUUUGCAUGUACCGUAAGAAUAAGGAUCGGCUAACUCCGUGCCAGCAGCCGCGGUAAUACGGAGGAUCCUAGUGUUAUCCGGAUUUAUUGGGUUUAAAGGGAGCGUAGGCGGGAGGUCAAGUCAGCUGUGAAAUGUAUCUGCUUAACGGGUACACUGCAGUUGAAACUGGUUUUCUUGAGUGCGUAAGAGGCAGGCGGAAUUCGUUGUGUAGCGGUGAAAUGCUUAGAUAUGACGAGGAACUCCUAUUGCGAAGGCAGCUUGCUGGGUCGUUACUGACGCUGAUGCUCGAAGGUGCGGGGAUCAAACAGGAUUAGAUACCCCAGUAGUC
rnacentral:rRNA from 1 species